GAAAGGCGGGUCUAUAAUGCAGUCGGACGGAGGUAUGUAGCAAUAUAUAUCUUAGUGGCGAACGGGUGAGUAACGCGUUGGUGACCUACCCCAGAGAGGGGGAUAACAGCUCGAAAGGGCUGCUAAUACCCCAUGAGAUCAUGGUAGUUAGAGAGCCAUGAUGAAAGGUGCAAACCGCUCUGGGAGGGGCCUGCGUCCCAUCAGCUAGUUGGUAGGGUAAAGGCCUACCAAGGCGACGACGGGUAGGGGGCCUGAGAGGGUGAUCCCCCACACUGGCACUGAAACACGGGCCAGACACCUACGGGUGGCAGCAGUAGGGAAUAUUGCACAAUGGGCGCAAGCCUGAUGCAGCAACGCCGCGUGCGCGAUGAAGGCCUUCGGGUCGUAAAGCGCUUUUCGGGGAGAUGAGGAAGGACAGUAUCCUCGGAAGAAGGAUCGGCUAACUACGUGCCAGCAGCCGCGGUAAAACGUAGGAUCCGAGCGUUAUCCGAAUUCACUGGGCGUAAAGCGCGUGCAGGCGGUUCGGUAAGUUGGAUGUGAAAUCUCCCGGCUCAACUGGGAGGGGACGUUCAAUACUGUCGGACUCGAGGACGGUAGAGGGAGGUGGAAUUCCCGGUGUAGUGGUGAAAUGCGUAGAUAUCGGGAGGAACACCAGUGGCGAAGGCGGCCUCCUGGACCGUACCUGACGCUCAGACGCGAAAGCUAGGGGAGCGAACGGGAUUAGAAACCCCGGUAGUCCUAGCCGUAAACGUUGAGUGCUAGGCGUCGGGGGUAUUGACCCCUCCGGUGCCGGAGUUAACGCAUUAAGCACUCCGCCUGGGGAGUACGGCCGCAAGGCUAAAACUCAAAGGAAUUGACGG
rnacentral:rRNA from 1 species